rnacentral:misc_RNA from 1 species
GUGAAGAACGCAGCGAAAUGCGAUAAGUAGUGUGAAUUGCAGAAUUCAGUGAAUCAUCGAAUCUUUGAACGCACAUUGCGCCCUUUGGUAUUCCAAAGGGCAUGCCUGUUCGAGCGUCAUUUGUACCCUCAAGCUUUGCUUGGUGUUGGGCGUCUUGUCUCUAGCUUUGCUGGAGACUCGCCUUAAAGUAAUUGGCAGCCGGCCUACUGGUUUCGGAGCGCAGCACAAGUCGCACUCUCUAUCAGCAAAGGUCUAGCAGCCAUUAAGCCUUUUUUUCAACUUUUGACCUCGGAUCAGGUAGGGAUACCCGCUGAACUUAAGCAUAUCAAUAAGCGGAGGA